AAGUCGUAACAAGGUUUCCGUAGGUGAACCUGCGGAAGGAUCAUUACAUUCAGUAGCCUAGCUACUUGUUUACACCCUUGUUUUUUUUGCGCACUUCACUGUAUCCCUCGGCGGGCUUGCUCGCCGGUUGGACAACAUUUAUAACCUUUUUUUAAUCUUCAAUCAGCGUCUGAAUUAUAUUUAAUAAUUACAACUUUCAACAACGGAUCUCUUGGUUCUG
rnacentral:misc_RNA from 1 species